rnacentral:misc_RNA from 1 species
GAUGAAGAACGCAGCGAAAUGCGAUAAGUAAUGUGAAUUGCAGAAUUUAGUGAAUCAUCGAAUCUUUGAACGCACAUUGCGCCCGCUGGUAUUCCGGCGGGCAUGCCUGUUCGAGCGUCAUUUCAACCCUCAAGCUCUCCGGAGUUUGGUGUUGGGGCGCCUGGGGCUUUUCGACCUCAGGGCCCUCAAGUCCAUCGGCGGGACCGCCAGGACACUGAGCGCAGUAGUAUUAUUUCGCUCGGUAGGAUCUUCCACGGCGGGUCGAUCUGGCCGCUAAACCCCCCAAUUCUCACCAAAGGUUGACCUCGGAUCAGGUAGGAAUACCCGCUGAACUUAAGCAUAUCAAUAAGCGGAGGA